ACGAACGCUGGCGGCGUGCUUAACACAUGCAAGUCGAACGGAAAGGCCCUGCUUUUGUGGGGUGCUCGAGUGGCGAACGGGUGAGUAACACGUGAGUAACCUGCCCUUGACUUUGGGAUAACUUCAGGAAACUGGGGCUAAUACCGGAUAGGAGCUCCCGCUGCAUGGUGGGGGUUGGAAAGUUUCGGCGGUUGGGGAUGGACUCGCGGCUUAUCAGCUUGUUGGUGGGGUAGUGGCUUACCAAGGCUUUGACGGGUAGCCGGCCUGAGAGGGUGACCGGCCACAUUGGGACUGAGAUACGGCCCAGACUCCUACGGGAGGCAGCAGUGGGGAAUAUUGCACAAUGGGCGGAAGCCUGAUGCAGCAACGCCGCGUGCGGGAUGACGGCCUUCGGGUUGUAAACCGCUUUCGCCUGUGACGAAGCGUGAGUGACGGUAAUGGGUAAAGAAGCACCGGCUAACUACGU
rnacentral:rRNA from 1 species